CUUAACAGGGAAGCAUCAUAAACCAGAGCAGAGUGCUGUUUACUCUGAGGUGAAGACGGGAGCUGCAGAGGACAGUCUGAUGUAUGCUGAGGUCAAACAGCCCAAAAAAGAAAAAGCCAAGAAAAACAAAGGAACAUCAAGUCCUGCAGCUGAUGCAGCAGUUUAUUCUGAAGUCACAUCAGGAAGCUCUCUCAGUCAGUGAGGAGAGCUGUAGCAGCAAAGCCAAGAAGAAGCUUUUUAUGAAGCCACUCUUGCUCCUCUGCUGCCCAAAUAUCAGACAUGCUCAGCUUUAUGUACAGUUACAAUAUUACAUCAUA